GGAUGCCUACGGGGGGCAGCAGUGAGGAAUAUUGGUCAAUGGGCGCAAGCCUGAACCAGCCAAGUCGCGUGAGGGAUGACGGUCCUAUGGAUUGUAAACCUCUUUUGUCGGGGAGCAAGGCCCGCCACGUGUGGCGGGAAGGAGAGUACCCGAAGAAAAAGCAUCGGCUAACUCCGUGCCCGCAGCCGCGGGAAUAAGGAGGAUGCGAGCGUUAUCCGGAUUUUUUUGGUUUAAAGG
rnacentral:rRNA from 1 species